rnacentral:rRNA from 1 species
UACGUAGGGGCAAGCGUUGUCCGGAAUCAUUGGGCGUAAAGCGCGUGUAGGCGGUUCGGUAAGUCUGCUGUGAAAGUCCAGGGCUCAACCCUGGGAUGCCGGUGGAUACUGUCGGACUAGAGUACGGAAGAGGCGAGUGGAAUUCCCGGUGUAGCGGUGAAAUGCGCAGAUAUCGGGAGGAACACCAAUUGCGAAGGCAGCUCGCUGGGACGUCACUGACGCUGAGACGCGAAAGCGUGGGGAGCAAACAGG